CACAGCAAUCGAGGGAAGUGAGUGUUGGAAACUCAACUCUGAUAUUUUUAGUCAGAGUAUUUUAGUGUUACACACAACCAAUUUAUUCUUUUAUAAUUCGUCCAAGGCUGCAGCUAGACUGCCGAAAGCUUGUUUAACAAUCAAUGAAUGUUUGACCGCAUUAUCGAAAAUCCUGAUAUCGGAUGACGCAUUUUUUCCUAAAAAAUGUUAAAUAGUUCGCUAUCAUGGCCAAUUUGAUUUGUACAGGUCCCGGUCGUAUUUUAGUGAAUUGAAAUUGAAAGAAUCCAGUUUAUUUAUUUCACACGCCAUGUUGAGACUUAAGAGGAAGUUACCUUUAGCUAAAAUUUACGUACAUGCUAUUAUCAUUGGUUAUGUUAUUUUUGAUUACUCGAUCGUUCCUUUGAUAGCGACAAGCAAUGAGAUGGGGAGUAACUAAAAGAAAACAAGGAUUCUUUGUUUGAUGUUUAAUUACAGAUUGGCCACGUCGUAACCCACUUGUAGUCCCCAAACAUAUAGGCCAUGGACCUACUUCGAAAAUUGUGAUUUUUUCAUGCGUCCAUCGAGGAAGAAAAGAAUUUUUUAACCAUCAUUGAUCUUGCUGCUGUUAUAGUACUUAUAUAUAUAUAUAUCAACUCUAGCAUGUAUGUCAAUAGUAUAACUUGCAAAGUAAUAAGAAAACCGAUUAGUUUAUCUUGAGUUAAUGGUCAGGUGAAAUCAAUAUAAUGUUUUUACGUCGUAGCCAAUCAAAGCAAAGAAAGUCUUGCCCUCAACCAAUUACGUAGCGUCGGGGUGAAAGGUCUUUCAGUACACUUGGUACACAAUGGCGAACAACAAGGCUUGCUGAAGUUUCUCACUCGGAUGACGAGUUUAUUGCGUUAUGCAUAUCAAAAAUAGUGCUAACUCAAAAUUAAAAUCAUUUGCACUUGCUUGUUGGUGUAUAUUUACUUUUUUUACUGCUAAAUGGAGAAAACUUUCAUGAUAUAAGGCGAAAUGGCGCAGGAACAGCUUCAACUUCUGGGGCUAAUUGACGACCAUUACGUUGACAAUUUGUCUUUCGCUGAAAGUGUUAGCUCUUCAGAGCGUUUCGUACCCAUACCAGCGCUCUGCAAAUUCCAUUGCAAUCGCUAAAGUCGGUUUUUCAUUGUCCAAAUGCAGUGAAGAAAACAGAACAGGCAAAUAAGAAUGAGAGAAAGAAAAACAAGACGAUCAACAUAAGGACUUUUCAGUUUUGGAGACUUGUAAUUCAGUAUAUGUGAGAUUAUUUGGUACCAGUUGAAUUUCAAAGAUACAUUUCUUUUCACUUUGAAUUUAUUACUUGAAAUUUACUUCAAAUACUACACUCAGAGUAGUUGUGAUUCUACGUUGCGUUUUUUUGUUUCGAUAAGAUAAGAAAUGCAUAUAUAUUGUGUGAAUUAUUUUACAAUGUUGCUUCAAACUAACUAGAGCAAUUUGUCAUUUCAAUAUUAAACUAUAAUUUUUAUAGAUGGUAUCUGA